GACGAACGCUGGCGGCGUGCCUAAUACAUGCAAGUCGAGCGAAGUUUUUCUGGUGCUUGCACUAGAAAAACUUAGCGGCGAACGGGUGAGUAACACGUAAAGAACCUGCCUCAUAGACUGGGACAACUAUUGGAAACGAUAGCUAAUACCGGAUAACAGUAUUUCUCGCAUGGGAGAUAUUUAAAAGUUGGUUAUGCUAACACUAUGAGAUGGCUUUGCGGUGUAUUAGCUAGUUGGUGGGGUAAAGGCCCACCAAGGCGACGAUGCAUAGCCGACCUGAGAGGGUGAUCGGCCACACUGGGACUGAGACACGGCCCAGACUCCUACGGGAGGCAGCAGUAGGGAAUCUUCCGCAAUGGGCGAAAGCCUGACGGAGCAACGCCGCGUGAGUGAAGAAGGAUUUCGGUUCGUAAAGCUCUGUUGUUAGGGAAGAAUGGAUAUGUAGUAACUAUACAUGUAAGAGACGUUACCUAACCAGAAAGCCACGGCUAACUACGUG
rnacentral:rRNA from 1 species